CAUUAAGUAACUUAAAGUAAGUGUUGGUCUCUUAAACCAAAUUAUAGUAAAUUACAAAUACUCUUAAUG
rnacentral:tRNA from 1 species